AUCCCGGCGGCCCCGCCCGCAACUCCCUUAUUUUCGGAAUAAGGAAAACAGAUUCGCAGCAAGCUUGCGCCGCCGAUCCUCCCUUAUCCUCCUGCGCCCCGAGUCCACCCCGCCUCCGGUCGCCACCCGCGCUCAGCCGCCGCCGGCCUCCUCUGCCGGAUGCCAUGGCCAUGGACCAAAGCUCGAAUUGGAUGUUGGUGAUAGCUUCCCUCGCGAAUGCCUGGAGGUGGGAUGAGCAAAUCCCGAAUCUCCUUACUGCCUGGACUGGAGAGUUGCAUCCAAUCAGGCCUCCUCCUCUCCACUAAGUGCCUCUGAACACAUGAGUUCUUGCACGGUGGAGGCGUGGAGCAUAGGAGCAUACAACUGAUUCUUUGGAACACCUGAUUCCGGUACACGUGCAACCAUUUGUAGCGUUUGCUUAUUGUUUUUUGGGACACCUGAUUCCACUACAUGUGCAAUCAUAUUUGUUAGGUACUUUAUGGAUAAGUACACACCCAGAUUUUGGGGAUUUGUAAUACGAGUGAGUUCAUGUGUUACUAGAAUUGUUGUACCUAAUCUGGUUUUGUUGGGGCUUGGUUUUGCUUUGAAAAAUAUAGGACAUCAAGCAUCAAAUUGUUUAAUCUUGUUCAUAUUUUAGUAUCGCGUUUCACAUGAACUAUUAAAAUUGUUCUGUACACACAAAAUAAUUGCUUAUUAGGAUCUAAGUCGUUGUUGUUCAUGUGGAAUUUAUAAUUCAGCAUCUUGAGAACUAUGACAUGUGUAGUCCUGUAAAGUGCAAGAAGAUUUAAAUUCCUAGAACUUAAUCAACUUAUAAAGUCAGAAGAAUAUGGUUCCGGUAAUGUGACUGAGGAGAAAAACUGGCCUCUUUUUCAACCUGCACCAACAUUAAUAAUGGUGAAGUGUUACAUUAGGAGCCUAUCAUGGUCGGUUUAUCUUUUAUGUAAAUGAUAUGCGCUGCCUAGAACUUAUGCUAUAAAUUAUCAAUACCAUGUUUCUAGAUAGUACCAAAUUUUGUUAAAUUAUGAGUCUUUUCUUUUCUAAAAUCAAUCAUUCAUGCAUUUGCAAUGUGUCAAUCCUGGAUAUACUUUGGAUGUAAUUGCUAUUGUCGAGUUGGAUUAGAUUUGCAUUUAAUUGCUAAUGGUGAGUUGGCUUAGAUUUUCUAAGUCUCAAACUAGAAGCAGUACUACUUUACUAGAAGCAGUAAUACUUUAAUUUACACUAGUUUUUAACAGUAGUUGUGCGUUUGGGCCUUUCUACAGAAAUAAAAAUAGACUGCUUCAAUGCUUUAUUAACAAUGCCACCGACCAAGUUUAUUUCUUCUAACCUUAUAAUCCAGUAUUUCAUAUGCCAGUUGAUGCAAUGAUUGAUAGUCUUCACGGGAAAAAAUGUCACAUGCCCUUUCAGGAAAACCAACAGAAGAUUUACCGGCGAACCCUCACUUUUAAGGCAAGUUCAUUGGAUGACUACCAUAUCUUUAGGUAACUUUUGGUUGCUCUGAUGAAAUUGGAUGGGAGAUGGCCAUCCAACUUUUAGAAGUCAUGAGUUUUUCCUUGAUUGGAUGGACUGGAUAGGUCUAUAUCCCAUUAAAUAUAAUAUAGCUCGAACAACCAGGGAAAAUCCAAGUGGUACAAAAAACUUGAGUGAGCUGAGCCAUUUCUUGCCUCCAGCUGUUCAAGUUAAAGAGGACACAUGUCUUUCUCUUAAAAAUGUCUCAUUUGGGCAUUCCUUGUACAACACCUUUUUAAAUCAUAAAAAUGGUCUUGGCCAAAUACUAGGUAGAGUAUUCAACAAUUUUCUACCUUCCAUAAGCUCUUCACAUGCACAUACCUCUGGUUCGUGUAACAUCUAUAAUUGACGACUUCCAAUGAUUUUACACUACAGAAUUUAUUAAUUCAGAAUUUCCUUUACUUGCCACGGGUAACACUUAUAUGUUAUAGGGUAGACCACUCCUGGUUGUAUUAAGUCACUAUAUGUCAUUGCAUUUAUACUACUCCCUCUGAUCCAAAAUAAGUGUCAUGGUUUUGUUCAAAUUGAUGUACCAUAUUUGAGAUAAAGGGUAUUUUUGGACCUACGAUGUCAUCAUCUCUUUAUAUUCUUAUCAGCUUCUGGAAGUAUUGUCUGGAAUUAGACCCUAUUACAAUCAGUUUGUGCACCUGCUCUAUUUUGUAUGCAGAGACAAACCUAACUGUAAUGUUGGACAUGCUAUGAGCACUCUAGGUCCAACAACCUGCAUUGUAUCUGAAUAGAAGAAAAAAAUUAUUAAGAUAUCUACAAGUUUUGGGGAAGUCCUCCAAAAGAACAGAGAUCUCAUUCAAACAACAUUCUCCAUUGAGUCAACUUCGUCGCCAUGAUUUUUUUAAAACAGAGGAUGGCAUUUGUCAGUAAGGUUUUUAUUGCAAAAUCUGGUGUGCGAGAGGCUAGGGAUCUGUGAUCUAGGAUGUUGAAGAAACAGAUGGCAACUAAGGUCUUCAAUCCCUAUCAAAAAGUGGGCUCCAAUCAAAAGAAGAAUCAGUAGUUCAAGAUGGAAUUUAUUCUUCUUCAAAGUAGAUGACAUUUAUUCAUUUUUUGAGCAUUUAUGGUUUUGUGUGUAUAUUGAAUUAUUUUAUGAGUUGUGAUAUUUAUUCUUAAACAAUAAGAAAUUCAAUGCAAAGGUCCACACUAAUGUGUGAGCAGGCGUCAUAUUAUGUGACGCUUUUAGUUUAUCGGCAGUAGCAGUUGCAACAACAUUAUGUACGCAAAAUCUUUUGGUCUUGCGAUUUUACGUUUGGUUUAGUGACAUUGAUAUUUUAGUGGGAGGCAGCUUUUCAAUCAUGAUAGGUUUCAAGCUUCUUUAACAACCAAUCCAAGCACCUAAUGGAGGAAAUAACACAUAUUAUUGUCUGUAUGCAACAACAUGACCACAGUUAUGUGUCACCUUCGAGAAUACAAAAUAUGAGCAAGACAACAACAUAAUGUCUCCAUUUACCUUUUUGGGAACAUUUUUUUGUGUGUUCGUGUGAAUCUCAUUUAGCAAGGAGAACGUUUAAGACGUGCGUUGCACGUGCAAGCUUACUAGGUGAAUUCAAGCUAAAAUAUGAAUUGUACUGUUCUAACUAUAUUUUUUUUCAGAUCCAUUUUCCAGGAAAAUGGGCAUGAUAAGAUCAUUAUCUAAAAGCCAUGGGAUGAGCCAUGAAUGAGACCAUUCCCUUUUGCUGCUUUAUUGUCAUUGUUGAUGAGUCCAAGCUCGUCCCGCUUCAGCAUCGUGUACAUGUUGGGACUCAUCGGCAAUGUGUUCGGCAAAUUGCUAGGCUUCCACACCAAGACGCUAUCAAAUCUCUCCAUUUCUUGAAAAGAAGACUACUGUUGUUGUCAGCUCUUUUCUGUCAUUGAUCCAAAGACCAGGUCAUGAGUUUAAAACAACAUGGUGGGAAAUCUGAUUAUCUUGGCAGCACCAAAUGAAAAUCUCUGGUAGCAGUGAGGCUGAAAAAUGCAUGUAUGAUGUUCUGUACAUGAUUCCUAAGAACGUUGACCCAUUUCUUUGAAGGUGAAAAACAUGUGAUAUAAACGCAAAUGAAGGUUAUGGAGUAACUUGAAGGCAUCCAAAAUCUGCGUAUUCGCUAUUGAUGAAGCGCAUUGCAUAUUGGAAUGGGGUCAUGAUUUCAGGUUAUUUGUUCUGCUAUUGUGUGAAUUAUUUCAGCUAAAGAGCUGACAAUUUACUUUCGUUUCAAUUUUUGAUAUGUCCUAUGCAUUUAGUUUGGAAAUUUUAUGUGUCUUGGUGGUAAAUGCAAAAGAUAUCAGUUCAUAUCAGCUAUCAAUUAUCGCUAGAUUGCUCUCACCCUUUAAUUCUGUGGUCAAAUUUGGCGACCUGUCGAGGAUGGCGAGUGCAGCGUGAUAGCUCUGCCUUUUACACUAAUCUUUUACCUAAAUUUUAUUUGAUAAACGGAUCGUUGCAUCAGACAGGUCUGCAGUACCAAACAGCUUGAAGCUUGUUAGUUGAUGAUACUAUGCAUUUAUGUUACAGUGCUUAGUGCGCAGGCAUUGAUCAUAGUAGUACGAACACAUGCAAUCUUUAAUCAGUGUUACAUUUUGAGAAGGACUAUUCUUCUUCCAUGUUAAUUCUCGGCUUGUAGGAACAUAAUGGAUUGAUUUUUAUAUUAGAUUCGAUAGUUGUGGUUUUCUUUUCUAAUCGUGUACCAGAUGCAACAUUUGUCUUGCCUUGUAGUUUUGAACGGGGGUAGUAUUUGUUUUCCAUUACUUUUUUAUGGUUAGAGAAAUGUUAUUAUUGUCGAAAAACACAAACAUUGACAUUGCACUAAGUGCAUGCUUCAUUAUUUGUAAUCUCUACUCCUAAUGGAGUAGUUGGUAGGAUUGCGUCCAGGUUUA